AUCCAGCUGACGAGUUCCAAAUAGGACGAAACGCAUGUCCUGAAU
rnacentral:hammerhead_ribozyme from 1 species